GUGCAACGACUGUGUCAUUCAUUUAAAGUGCAUUUCUAUAUUGGUCUGAUUGAAAAUCAUGCUUUCUGGUUUAAACCAGUUUUUUUCACUUUGCUUUAAAGCAAAUAAUACUCCCCCUGGAGUAAAGUAAAGCAAUAAUUUAACUCAAAUAGUAUUUUCACUUCAAACCAGAGAUUUUCAUGUCACGUGACCACAUGACGUCACAUCAGCUCGCUCCUUCGUGAAGUUUGCUGUCCGCCAUUACCUCGCUUCAACAGAGAGGACGAGUGCUGUUCAAGAAAACUCUUUUAAACAAGCAUAAUCAAAAAUGAUGAGAAUGGAUUGAGUACUAGACGGUUUGCUGUUGUUUCCUGAAAAGGUCACAGUUUAGCCACAUUGCUGAAUUUG